AAGGUAAACUUGAUAAAGAAAAAAAAAGAUAUAGAGAAACGAAUGAGUGAAAAAAAGCAUCACAAGAAAGAGAUAAAGAGAGAGCAAAUUUAACUCGUCAGUGUCUUUACUUAUCCAACAUGAGUAAAAAAAAGGGAAACGAUAAGAUGAUGAAAAAGAUGAUGAUUAUUACUCGUGUUGAAAAUAUUCACAGAAUUGAAAUGAAACAGGAAAAAGAAAACAAGUUUCAUGAUGGAAAAUGUUGAGAGAGAAAUGAUGUUGAUUGAUUAAUUUUCAAUUUCUUUUCUUUUCUCUUUUUCUGUCUGGUCAAUUACCAUAGAAAAGAAAAGAAAUUAAAGCGUAACCAUGGAAACGAAGAAAAAGAGACAGAAAAAUAGACAGAGAAAAGAAAAGAACUUUUUUCUUCCCUCCAAAUGUUCGCUUCCAUUUUCUUGUUCUUUUCAUUGGGACAAAUUAACUUGUUAAUUAAUUAUUCUUUCAAUUGUGAUCACUUUUAUUACGAUUUAUUCAACUGUUUACACAUAUGUAAUUCUGUUAAUAUUGAACAAAGAUAUUCAUUUACCCUUAGGCUGUGAUAGUUCAUCAAUUUGAUUAUUUCUUCAUUUUCUCUCUCUCCUCCAGGCAUAACUCGUGCACUGGUUUAUUCUUGCUUCUCAUCAAACAUUGAUUUUCAUCAUCACCGUCAUCGUCUUGCACUCAACAUCAUUUUUGGCCCUUUUUUUUAUAUCUUACACUCAACAGAGAAUAAAAGUAAAACUUUUCACUUUCUCUCAUCAUCAUCGUCAACAAAAUCAGAUUAAUCAGAUUGUGUGUUUAUUGCAUUGUCAUCAGGCAACCAGGAGAAAUGAUGACAAAUACUCAAAGGAGGUCAUUGAAUCUCGUGAUUUUUUAUCCUGUGUGUUGAUUAAACGAGUUGAAACAUGAUUUCAAGAUUACCACCGCCACCACGGAAAAUCAAGUCCCAUAGACAGUUAAACUGUCAAAUGAAUUUAAUCAUAAUAACUUCAAGGGCCAUUUUUUGACUGUUCAAUACCACCGAUGAAAUUUCAAGAUUUUCCAAUCCAAGAUCAUUUUUUUUUCAUACAAGAGAAUAUGAUAAACAAUUAAUUGUCUCUAUCACUAUAAGUAUCAGUCAACUGAUUAUAUUGUCAUAUGAGAAGAUUGAUUUACUUUCUUAAUCCGGUUAUUAACCAAUUGAAUUUGCCAAUUUCAUGUAAUAACACAAUCUAAUUGUAGCUGACUCUCUGACCAUUGUAAUUAUAUUGUCACUUGAUUGUCAGCAAUUAACCUGAUAUUAACUAUAACUACUUUUCUCUGGCAAUGUUAUAUAACAAAUCAUGUGAGGAUUAACAUCACAUUUCCUGUUCA